rnacentral:lncRNA from 1 species
GGAUGAGCCUCGGGGCUCCCGUGCCCCCCAGGUGCGUGGUUUUGGGGCCAAAUAGCGAGUUUUGACCCACGAACUGCGUCACGGGGAGCGCGGAGACGGGGACGGGCGGGGACGGGGGCCCAAAGUCUGACGGGGAAACUGAGGCAGGGGGACGAGUUUCCCCCCUUCCAGCUGCAAGGGCAGAGCCCGGGAGUCCGGGAGGCUCCCGUGGGGGACCCAGGUGUUUGUGUGUGUCCCCCCUCCCCGCCCCGAGGGACAAAAUCCUACUCAAAAGGGCCCUUUCAUGGGGCGCGGGCGUUGGCCGGGGCUCGGCCCCGCGCUGCAGCUGCCGCCUGUUGUGCUUGGCUCCGGCACCGCCGGCGGCUCCGGUGUGCUCGGGUGUUCGGUGCUGGGAAACGGCCCCCGGGAGUCCCUGCUUGGGGAGGGUGGGGGUGUCCACGUCCCCCUGGGCGUCACCAUUUGGGGUCUGUGAGUCCCCAUCCCCCUGGACGUUGCCGUUUGGGGUCUGAGUGUCCCCAUCCCUUUGGGCGUCACUGUUUGGCGUCUACGUGUCCCCAGCUCCCUGGGCAUCCUCGUUUGGGGUCUGCAUGUUCCCAUCCCCCUGCACAUAACUGUUUGGGGUCUGCGUGUCCCCAUACCCCUGGGCAUCACAGUUUGGGGUCUGUAUGUCCCCGUCCCCCUGGGCAUUAUUGUUUGGGGUCUGCAUGUCCCCAUCCCCCUUGGGCAUCACCAUUUGGAGUCCGCUUGUCCCUGUCCCCCUGGGCAUUGCUAUUUGGGGUCUGCAUAUCCCUGUCCCCCUGGGUGUCACUGCCCUUAGGGCUUCAUGUCCACGUCCUCCUGGGCAUCGCCAUUUGGGGUCUACAUGCCCUGUCCCCCCCUGCACAUCACUGUUUGGGGUCUGUGGGUCCCCAUCUCCCUGGACAUUACUGUUUGGGGUCUGCAUGUCCUCAUCCCCCUGGGUGUCACUGCCCAUAUGUCCUCAUGUCCCUGGGCAUCACCAUUUGGGGUCUGCUUGUCCCCGUCCCUCUGGGCAUUGCUAUGUGGGGUCUGCAUGUUCCCAUCCCCUUUUACAUCACUGUUUGGGGACUGCAUGUCCCCAUCUCCCUGCACAUCAUCGUUUGGGGUCUGCACGUCCCUGUCCCCCCGGACAUCACCAUUUGGGGUCUGCGUGUCCCCCUCAGGAGGGGCAGCGCCGGGAGCACCGUGCGGCCCCGCAGCCCUGGAGCUCUGCAGGCGUCGUUUUUGGGAUGAAAACAGGAAAACGCCGUGCCAACAGCAAUAAACAGCACGGCGGGACCGAGCCGGGGCACGGGCAGGGCCAGCAGGGGAGGGCACGGGGCUGGAGGCACCGGGGGGGCGGCAGGGGUGGGGCGGGAUGGGGACGGGGACGGGGAUGGGGAUUGGGAUGGGAUGGGAUGGGAAUGGGAUGGGGACAGGAAUGGGGAUGGGGACAGGGACUAGGGUGAGGAUAAGGAUGAGGAUGGGGAGAGAAUGGGGAUGGGAAUGAGGACGGGGACAGGGACUAGGGUGAGGAUAAGGAUGAGGAUGGGGACAGAAUGGGGAUGGGAAUGAGGACUGGGGUGGGAUGGGAAUGGGGAUGAGGAUGAGAUGGGACGGGGAUGGGAAUGGGGAUGGGAAUGGGGAUGGGAUGGGGAUGGGGGCAGUAUGGGGAUGGGGACAGGAACUGGGAUGGGGAUGGGGACAGAAUGGGGAUGGGAACAGGGACUGGGACGGGGAUGAGGAGAGGGCCAGGGCCAGCCGUGCCCUGAACACGCAGCUGGAAAGCAAGCUCAGGGCAGGCUGUGGCUGGCAAAACCCCAUUUCUCCCCCGAGCAGGCAGUGAAGCAGCACCGGGCCGUGCAGGCAGCCCGGCAGGGAUGUGUGUGAGCGUUAGGGGAUUUUUUUUGCUCCGGCACCACAGGGAGGGGAACCCCGGCAGAGCCCGAGGUGGGGCCGGCUGUUUUUCCCCAGCGCCGUGUUGCUCUUGGCACCGCGGCCCCGGCUCGGGUACCUGGGGCCUCCGGCUGCCCCCUCCCUGCCCUCAGCAAGGGAAAAAAACACCCCACACCCUGCCCCGGGAGGGGGCCGGGGGGCACGGGCCUGGCUCCGGGGGGCCCUUCUGGGGGGCGAGGAGCGGGGUCCCCGAUGGAGACCUCGGUCUCACACGGCACGAGCGCGUGCGCUCCUCGGCACGGCCCGCGGGGCGCCCCAGGGUGCGCGUGCACGCGUACGGGCAGUGGGGUGCACACUCGUGCCCGCGCACAGCCAGACACAGGCGUGCCCACGUGCCCUGGGUAUGCGCGCACACGUACAAACACACCCAUGCACACUGGGGGGGGUCUCUGAGGCUGUCCCCCCCCCGGCUCCCACCCCACACAAUCCUGCCCCAGGUGGCCCAGAGCAGGACCAGAUCCGUUUUGGGGUUUGGGGUUUGGGGGAUCCCCGUGAUCAGCCCCAGCCCGGCCA